UGAGAGUAAGGCGAGGAGAGGAAAGGUGGAUCAGGUUUCUCUGAGCAUCAAUCUGAAGGUGCUAGGGAGUGUUUCAGGAACAGCAGAGGGCCGGACGGCAUUUUGUCCGGACACAGCAUUUGCAAACAAAUCCAGUGGGUUGGGUGUGUUCCCACAAAAGAAUGAGCAAUGUCUGUAUGCAAACCACACACAAUAAAUUUACGAUACCGCUAAGUU